UACAGAGGUCCCAAGCGUUGUUCGGAUUCACUGGGCGUAAAGGGUGCGUAGGUGGUGGGGUAAGUCUCGUGUGAAAGCUCGCAGCUUAACUGCGAAAAGUCACGGAAUACUAUUCCGCUGGAGGCUUGGAGAGAGGACUGGAAUACUUGGUGUAGCAGUGAAAUGCGUAGAUAUCAAGUGGAACACCAAUGACGAAGGCGAGUCCCUGGACAAGACCUGACACUGAGGCACGAAAGCCAGGGGAACAAACAGG
rnacentral:rRNA from 1 species